GUACGUGAAACCGUUCAGGGGUAAACGGGAGAAAUCCUGAAUUCGAAAGGGGCGGGAUUCAAGUCCAUCCUGGUAGGCUUCGGCCUUUAAAAAUCGGGCCGUCUUGCCCCGCCAGAUGGCGUCGGUCGCCCGCGGGUCGAUUCACUUCGCUCGCGGUGUCGUUCCCGGCCGUCACUCGGCGGGGUGUCGGACUCCGGUACCGGAGGACGGCACUUCCACCCUUUGUAGAAACGUCGCGACCCGUUGGGUGCCGGUCUCAAGGCCCGGGAAGGCAGACCGCGUCGUUCCGCGGGGGGUUCUCCCCUCGCGGGCGCGCGGACUCUCGGUGUCCCGGCCGGCUGCCCGACGGUACGACCAGAGGAGUCGAUCCGCUGAAAUGGGAAAAAACACUUGGGAAUGUGUAGCGUCCGGCCCGGUGCCGAUGCGCGAGAGUGUGAAUGGGUGAAAGAUAUCAGCGGGUGCCCGUGCCAAGCACGGCCCCGAACUCUCCGCGUCUUCGGUUUCAUACCGGUGUCCUCGGACAGGAUCGAUACUCCCGUCGGCGACGCCCACCUUCGGAUGG
rnacentral:rRNA from 1 species